rnacentral:rRNA from 1 species
CCCUUAGAUGUUCUGGGCCGCACGCGUGCUACACUGAGUGGAUCAGCGGGUCAGGUUGCGCGAAAGUGUUUCCUAAUCUUGAAAUCCGCUCGUGAUGGGGAUUGACGGUUGCAAUUUUCCGUCAUGAACGAGGAAUACCUUGUAAGCGCGGGUCAUCAUCCCGCGCUGAAUACGUCCCUGCCCUUUGUACACACCGCCCGUCGCCCCUACCGAUUGAGUGGUCCGGUGAGGCUUUGGGAUCUGAGCGGAAAGAGCGUUUCGCUGUUUCUGCUCGGAAAACUCAGUCGAACCUUAUCAUUUAGAGGAAGGAGAAGUCGUAACA